UCAGGGAUAGUAAAUGGAAAAAAGAAAAUAAGAGUGUGUCUCACUUGUUUCUCAAACCCAUUUCUAGUUGCAUCUCUGUUGGAAAGUGCGAAGCGCGUUCUCGCCGGCAACUGGACUUAUAUAUCUACCCGAGUCACAAGCCCACACAAAAUCGCAGAAUAAUUCGUUGAGUGAUUGUAUUACUAUUAGAUACGUAGAAAACAAAUUCGAUUAUUUGGGUUUGAAGAAACCCGUGUCAGCGUAUUUUCGUUAAAGCUUCUUUUCUUUCCUCCCCGUUGUCAGCGACAGGAAGGAGCGAAGCAACUCAGGACAUGGCUGUUGACAAAGUUAUAACUUCACCUCAUCGGAGGUCGCAGACACAGACUGCAUUCUCUCCACCUUCACCUAGGAAGCAACACUUGCGAGACACAGAACUGGGAAGCUGCACAACCCUUGUUCAGAGACAUCAAUUCCUCCUGAUAGCCCUCGCACUCCUUGUAGUUCUGUGCACUAUUUAUCUUUACUUUGCUGUGACUCUUGGGUCUGCCGAUGAAUGCUCCAACUUGGUGGGGGCUCAAAAGGCAACGUGUCGUCUUCAAUUGUUGAAAGCUUCUGCAGCGAAGGGGAAAUUGAAAUUCCUUUAGGAAAAGGGCUAUUUAUACCUUGCCCUGUCUCCCGAGUUAAGUGCCAAAAUUGUUUGAAAUAUCCUAGGCUUAUUUUAUUCCUUACCAAGCUCACUGAUUUUUGGUGUAUAUUCAGAAAGCAAUAUGCUUUGAUACAUUUUCUAUGUAACUUAUGGUACUUGUGAAAUUCGUAUUUCUAAA